rnacentral:lncRNA from 1 species
UCUGAAUGAGUACUUUCAUGCUUCGAUUUAUACUCGAAAAAGAUAUGAUAUUGUGAAUUUUAAGCAGAAGGAUGGAGAAUCACUGAGUGAUGCAUACAAGAGAUUUAAAAGGUUACUGGUUGCAUGCCCGACUCAUAAUUUGGAUCAGACUGAACAAAUGCAAAUGUUUGUAAAUGACCUCAGAUUGAAGACUAAGCAACUUAUUGAUACAGUUUCCGUUGGCUCAGCCAACUUUAUAACAACCAAUGAUAUCAAGAAGAUCAUAGAAGUCAUUGCUGCAAAUGAACAUCUAGAGUUAUAUGAUCGAUGAUUUGGAAACGCUUGAAAGUCAGUGGUGUGAAGAUGGAAGACCAAGUUGUUGCUGAAGUUGAGAGAAGACUUAAAGUUAUGAAUAUAGGUACUUAACAAGUAGCCCAAGUUCAACAUGCUCAAGUUGUUAAUUAUGAGAUCUAUGGGGGACCCUAUUUUGCCAUGCAAUGUGUUACAACCACGCAACGAAUUGAAGAGAUAAAAUUUCUGAAGCAGAACAACCCUUAUUCUAACACUUAUAAUCCAGGCUGGAAGAAUCAUCCAAAUUUCUUCUAGAAAGAUCAACAAGGGAAUAUUCAGAAGCAGGGUCCCAUUCAAUAUCAGAAUCAACCACAACAAUAUCAACAACAACAGUAGUAUCCACCACCACCACAACAGUGUCAGCAACAAGCACCCCAAAAGGUCGAUUGAGAACUUUCCAUUGAAAAGAUGGCAACUCAAAAUUCCUAGUUCCAAGAAGAAACAAGAAAUAAUCUGAGGAACACUACUGCUUCAAUCAAAAAUCUUGAAGUUCAUAUGGGUCAGAUAACACAAAACUCAUAAGUCAAGCUCAAGGCACCCUUCCGAGUGCAACAAUACAAAAUCCGAGACAUCAUGAGAAUGUUAAUGUUGUCACAACAAGAAGUUAGAAAGUUGCUAAAGAUGAAGAAGAGAAGGCAACAAAUCAUGACCAUAUCAUAAAGGUAGAUCUGGAAGUGAGGGAGAAUAAAAAAGAACUAGAAGAAGUUAUACCACCCAUAAAGCCAAUUGAAGAGGAAAAUAAUAAUGAGGCUAAACCGAUGAUUAAGUUACCUUGCCCUCAGAGAGUGAAAAAGAAGGAUACAAAAGAGGAAGACUUUGAGAAAUUCAUCACAAUAUUCAAAAAUUUAGAGAUCAAUAUGCCUUUCUUUGAAGCACUCGAGCAAGUGCCCAUGUGCCAAAAAUUCAUGAAAUAGGUAAUCUUUAGAAAGAGACGAAUAUGAGAUAGGUCGGUAACCGUUAAUGAAAAAUGUAGUGCAAUAUCACCGAGUAGGAGAAUCCAAUCAAGCAGAUGGAUCUUGGAUCUGUCACAGUCCCAUGCACUAUAAAAGACAAGAUUUUCAAAAAGGUACUUAUUGAUUCAGGAGCUAGUGUGAGUCUGAUGCCAUUGUCAAUUUAUCAAAGGCUUGGUAUUGGAAAAGUCAGCGAUACAUGGACAACUUUGACAUUUGCAUAUCACUCUAUAAAGAAUGCAUAUGGGAUAGUGGAAGACGUACUGGUGACAAUAGAGGAAUUUAGUUUUCCUGUUGAUUUUGGGAUCAUGGACAUACCUGAGGAUGAAGAGUCACCUAUCAUUCUGGGUCGACCAUUCAUGCAAACAAGUCAAUGCAAUUUCAACAUAGAACAUGGUACACUGACUUUAAAAGUUUAUGAUGAUGAAAUAACCUUGAAUGUGCUUGAAAAGAGGAAUCUAGAGGUAGAAAGAGAAAAUCACUAUCAAGUAGGCAUGAUCAGGACAAAUGUGAAAGGCAAAAGUAACAUGCCAAUAACAAAAAAAGUCUUAAAUAGGCCAUCUCAACUGGUAUCACCUCCAUUAGCAACCCUGAGUAGAAAAGCCCCUAUUUCCAUUCCAAAAGCCAUGAGAGAGAAGAGAAAUCAAUAUUGAGGUAAGGAUAUGGAAGUUGGAAGUGACUUGUGGCACAAAGUAGCCAAUAUCUCUGAAAAAGACGGUUUCUUGAUUUUGAAAAAGACAAGCAACAAGGUGUGGAAGCUGAAGUACCCCCCAUAACAGAGGGGAGGAGGCGUCAAGCUAAUGACGAUAUAACGCUGCUUGGGAGGCAACCCAAGGAAAGUAUUCGUAAUUUUUAUUUUAUAUUUUCAAUUUUAUAUUAAUUUCUAAGUUUUAUUUGCUUUAAGUUGGUUUAUUUUCGGUUGUUUACUUUCAUCUAGUAAUAUGAUACUGGUAGCUUUAGCGGUUGUCUGAAAAAUGGCCAAACGGAAAGCAUGUGUGACCUUUGUGCAUGUUAACUCGCCAAAAUAUUUUUUUUAUAUACUUCUAAAUGAUCUAAUUGGUUUAAUUAAGUUGGACUUAAAGUCGAGCAUGUUUACCACAACUGAUUGAGAAGCCAUAUCGAGCAAGAGGUAUUGCGGAGGUUGUCGGUUUUACCCAACAUGGUGAGAGCAGAAAAAGCCAAACACAAUAUACAUCAUAAGAGAGCAUUCAGGCAUGUCUUUAUCAUUCAGAACUUGUGCAUGUUCUUUUCUGAUUUUGGUUGCAUAAUUACGUACAUUGAGGCAUAAUUUUUUUACCCCUGAGCUUUUCUAGCCACCCUUUUUAUUAUUAUCCAUUGUUAACCCCAUUUGAGCCUUUACCCAUUUGUUUGUUUUAAAAAUCACAUCAUAUUAACCCAUGACCCAAACACUUCCCCACCAUGUUCAAAGUAUUUAUGUGAGUUAUCAGAUCUAUGUUCAUUCUAAGUUUGGGGUUGCUGUUGGGAUAACAACCAUUAAGGUUGGGGUAGUUGUGCAACAUUAGUACAAAUGAGGGCACCUGGUGAUUGAACAAAAAAAGAAGAAAAGAUGAAAAUUUGAAAAAUAAAAUUGAAAAAAGUAAAAGAAAAAUAAUCAUCAGGGCACUCGAAAGAAGGAGAAGUCAACGGAUAUUAAAAAUAAAGACAAAUCCAACAAUUGAAUCCUCGAUAACAAUUGAUCCUAAAGGACGAGUGUAAGAAAGAAUUCAAGCACUGGUCCAUUAGAAUAAGCAUAGUAAAGAUAACAAUCAUAUUAACUCUGAACCUCAUCCUACUUUUCCAAAAUUAUCCCACCUUAAACUUAGCCCCGUUACAACCAUAAAGACCUCAAAGAGUGUGUGUAUCAUGCACAUUGACAUCAAAAAGAGAAUUUAUUCAAGCCUAUGGUAUGGUAUUGUGUACUAUGAAUUUUGAGUGGAAAACACAUUAACACCCGAGAGAUUUGGUGAGAGUGUGAAUUGAGCUGACAGGUGAAGCAAUACUUUUAAGUUAAGGCGUGGCCAAUUAAUCGACCUCGGUAAUCCAGCAAAAAACCGAAGGUAGCAACAAAUGAGAGCACUGGAAGAUCUUAGAGGUAUUGUGGUACGUGAAAAGUUUUUUUCCUUUUAUUUGGGAGUGACAUGAGUUCUUUGUACUUAAAGUUGCUUGAGGACAAACAAUAAGCUAAGUUUGGGGUUGUGAUCAGUCACCAUUUGUGUUAUAGUUAUUAUCAUUUUAAUAGGUGAAAGUAGGCGAGUUAUUCGCAUUUUCAUAUAUUUUGAGUGGUUUAUAUGUCAGUUUCUUUAAUUUCGUAUUUAUCUAUGUUUUAAUCAUUCCUGAUAUUAUUUAUCUUUUUGAUAAGGUUAACGUGUUUUUUAGGUCGGAGGAAGUCAAUGAUAUGGUUGGAAAAGGAACACGGAGAAUUUUCAGAAAAAUUGGAAAAGUCUAUUUUUCAGCAUGUUUUACAGCAUGAUAUACGUGUGAUAUUUUUAUCAUAACUUAAGCCUCGUAACUCGGAAUGACGUGGGACCAACGGAAAAUGAAAUCUAACAUCCAGGGCUACAACUUUCAUGAAUACAUCAAAGGAUAAUUCGUAAUUGUAUGCUCGCACGCGUAAUACCAAGCCAUUACGCGUAUUGCCUCACCCUUGUACGCGUAUGAUACGAGUUCCAACAGAAGGGAGGAAAAAAUGAGCUUAUGCCCUUACACGUAACAGGGAAGGCAUUACGCGGAAUGACAUACCUGGAAUUGGGCAUUACGCAUAACAAGGAAGGCAUUACAUAUAAUGACAUGCCUGGAACAUGGCAUUAAGCGUAACAGGGAAGGCAUUACGUGGAAUGACAUGCCUGGAAUAAGGCAUUACACGUAACAGGAAGGCGUUAUGUGUAACGAGACCCCAAAAUCUCAAGAAGCCCAAAACAUGUCUAUUUAACCCGAAAACACGAUUUUUCGAGGGUUGGACGAUCUCGGACGACAAAAACACUUUUUGAAGGCUGGAGGACUCAGAUUUUGAAGGUGGAUUCAUAUUUUCAGGAGCUUUUUGCGAUUGAAGAUCAAUUCAUCUAAAUUUUUUGUAAUGGAAACAUUAUUUAUCAUGUUUUAUUUUAUUUUUAUGAGUAGCUAAAUCCCCCAAUGCUAGGGGUGUCCUUGAUUCAGAUCUAUAACGACCUCAAAUUUGUUUUUGCAAUGACAAUUUUAUUUCAUCAUAUUUGAUUUAUUCUCUUGACUGUUUUAACGCUUUCUCUAUCGGAAAAAUAGAGUUUGAAUUAUGAGUAACAAUUAAGCUGAACCGCAAGUGUUUAUGAUCUGCUUGGGAAUAUUUUAUAGUAGAUAGUACAUAGGACUAGGAAUACCCUAUAAGAACCGUAUUAUUCUUGAUAAAUUAAUGUUUAAUUUCAUCCAUACUUUUCUAUAGACAUAUGAGUUAGGUUGAAUGAUUAAAGGUUUUCUCACUAAGGACUUAGGAGUAAACACUCGUAAGAACCGAUAAUCAAUUAUCUGGAAUCUGUUGUUGCAUUGUGAGUUCAGAGUCGUCAUAAAAUAUAAUCAUACACUAUCCCUAACAUAUUACUCAGAUUUGCCUAAACCGUCAAUUACUUUGUUUACUUUAUCUGCAAUUAUUCUCAUAACUCAACCAAUCAAUCCAAAACUCAAAAGGCUUUUGUUUAACUGAAAUUAAUCCAUAACUUUGUAUCGUAAAGCAAUCCUUGAGAUAGAUACUGAGGAUAUCCCUUUUAUUACUACAUUGGCAGAUUAGUACACUUGCCAUUUUCCGAUCAAGUUUUUGGCGCCGUUGCUGGGAACUGCCAAAGAUAAUAGAGUUCAUAGAUAUAUUUCAAUUAAAAUUUUGUUGCUCUGCAGCUAAAAUUUUUAUUUUCAGUUUUUAUUUUUAUCUUUAUUUUUUGUGUGGCUAUUUUUGGUUAUUACUAAUCUUUAUGUAAUCCUUGUAUGCGAGGAAAGCCCUCAGCUAAUUUUACUUUUGAUGCAGAACUAGAAAGAACUUUGCACGUAAAGCCUUGACAAGCUAAGAAAGCAAGGUUGGCCGUCUCUGAAGCCGAAAUUUCUGAGCACUCAGAUACAAACUCAGAGAGAGAGAGAGAGAGAGAGAGAGAGAGAGAGAGAGAGAGAGAAUCCAACUAUGGCUGAACAACAAGAAAGACUUCUUGGAGAUAAUGGAAGAGAGAGAGAGAGAGAGAGAGAGAGAAUCCAACUAUGGCUGAACAACAAGAAAGACUUCUUGGAGAUAAUGGAGGAGCAAAUGCCCAUGGGGAUGUUUGACUAUAGUGAAUCAACUUGUGAAUGUUCCAAAAUUCCAGUUGCACCCAAUAACUAUCCCUCAGCCUGAGAAAAGGCCUUUUAUAGAGAAAAUAAAUGAAGAUGCAAAUAAACAUCUGCAAAGGUUUCUUACUAUGAGCAUUACUUUGAAGAUUGAUGGGCACACUGAAGAAGCAAAAAAAUUGAGAAUGCUUCUGUUCACUCUAGCUGAAGACUCCGAAGAAUUGUUUUAUUCAUUGCCAACUGGAAGUAUUACUAUGUGGGAACAGAUGGAAAUAACUUUUUUGAAUGAGUACUUCCCUGCUUCGGUUUAUAUUCGAAAAAGAUAUGAUAUUAUGAAUUUUAAGCAGAAGGACGGGGAAUCACUGGGUGAUGCAUACAAGAGAUUUAAAAGGUUACUAGUUGCGUGUCCGACUCAUAAUUUGGAUGAUACUGAACAGAUGCAGAUGUUUGUAAAUGGCCUCAGAUUAAAGACUAAGCAACUUAUUGAUACAGUUUCCGUUGGCUCAGCCAACUUUAUAACAACCAAUGAUAUCAAGAAGAUCAUAGAAGUCAUUGCUGCAAAUGAACAUCUAGAGUUAUAUGAUCGAAGUGUGAGUAAACCUGGUGUGAAUGAUUUGAANUGAAAAAAUGGCCAAACGGAAAGCAUGUGUGACCUUUGUGCAUGUUAACUCGCCAAAAUAUUUUUUAUAUACUUCUAAAUGAUCUAAUUGGUUUAAUUAAGUUGGACUUAAAGUCGAGCAUGUUUACCACAACUGAUUGAGAGCCAUAUCGAGCAAGAGGUAUUGCGGAGGUUGUCGGUUUUACCCAACAUGGUGAGAGCAGAAAAAGCCAAACACAAUAACAUCAUAGAGAGCAUUCAGGCAUGUCUUUAAUCAUUCAGAACUUGUGCAUGUUCUUUCUGAUUUUGGUUGCAUAAUUACGUACAUUGAGGCAUAAUUUUUUUACCCCUGAGCUUUUCUAGCCCCCUUUUUAUUAUUAUCCAUUGUUAACCCCAUUUGAGCCUUUACCCAUUGUUUGUUUUUAAAAUCACAUCAUAAUUAACCCAUGACCCAAACACUUCCCCACCAUGUUCAAAGUAUUUAUGUGAGUUAUCAGAUCUAUGUUCAUUCUAAGUUUGGGUUGCUGUUGGGAUAACAACCAUUAAGGUUGGGGUAGUUGUGCAACAUUAGUACAAAUGAGGGCACCUGGUGAUUGAACAAAAAAGAAGAAAAGAUGAAAAUUGAAAAAUAAAAUUGAAAAAGUAAAAGAAAAAUAAUCAUCAGGGCACUCGAAAGAAGGAGAAGUCAACGGAUAUUAAAAUAAAGACAAAUCCAAACAAUUGAAUCCUCGAUAACAAUUGAUCCUAAAGGACGAGUGUAAGAAAGAAUUCAAGCACUGGUCCAUUAGAAUAAGCAUAGUAAAGUAACAAUCAUAUUAACUCUGACCUCAUCCUACUUUUCCAAAUUAUCCACCUUAAACUUAGCCCCGUUACAACCAUAAAGACCUCAAAGAGUGUGUGUAUCAUGCACAUUGACAUCAAAAGAGAAUUUAUUCAAGCCUAUGGUAUGGUAUUGUGUACUAUGAAUUUUGAGUGGAAAACACAUUAACACACCCGAGAGAUUUGGUGAGAGUGUGAAUUGAGCUGACAGGUGAAGCAAUACUUUUAAGUUAAGCGUGGCCAAUUAAUCGACCUCGCUAAUCAGCCAAAAACCGAAGGUAGCAACAAUGAGAGCACUGGAAGAUCUUAGAGGUAUUGUGGUACGUGAAAAGUUUUUUUCCUUUUAUUUGGGAGUGACACAUGAGUUCUUUGUACUUAAAGUUGCUUGAGGACAAACAAUAAGCUAAGUUUGGGGUUGUGAUCAGUCACCAUUUGGUUAUAGUAUAUCAUUUUUUUAAUAGGUGAAAGUAGGCGAGUUAUUCGCAUUUUCAUAUAUUUUGAGUGGUUAUAUGUCAGUUUCUUUAAUUUCGUAUUUAUCUAUGUUUUAAUCAUUCCUGUAUUAUUUAUCUUUUUGAUAAGGUUAACGUGUUUUUUAGGUCGGAGGAAGUCAAUGAUAUGGUUGGAAAAGAACACGGGAGAGAAUUUUCAGAAAAUUGGAAAAGUCAUUUUUCAGCAUGUUUUACAGCAUGAUAUACGUGUGAUAUUUUAUCAUAACUUAAGCCUCGUAACUCGGAAUGAGUGGGACCAACGGAAAAUGAAAUCUAACAUCCAGGCUACACUUUCAUGAAUACAUCAAAGGAUAAUUCGUAAUUGUAUGCUCGCACGCGGAAUACCAAGCAUUACGCGUAUUGCCUCCCCUGUACGGCGUAUGAUACGAGUUCCAACAGAAGGGAGAAAAAAUGAGCUUAUGCCCUUACACGUAACAGGGAAGGCAUUACCGGAAUGAAUACCUGGAAUUGGGCAUUACGCAUAACAAGGAAGGCAUUACAUAUAAUGUACAUGCCUGGAACAUGGCAUUAAGCGUAACAGGGAAGGCAUUACGUGGAAUGACAUGCCUGGAAUAAGGCAUUACACGUAACAGGAAGGCGUAUGUGUACGAGACCCCAAAAUCUCAAGAAAGCCCAAAACAUGUCUAUUUAACCCGAAAACACGAUUUUUCGAGGGUUGGACGAUCUCGGACGACAAAAACACUUUUUGAAGGCUGGAGGACUCAGAUUUUGAAGGUGGAUUCAUAUUUUCAGGAGCUUUUUGGAUUGAAGAUCAAUUCAUCUAAAUUUUUGUAAUGGAACAUUAUUUAUCAUGUUUUAUUUUAUUUUUAUGAGUAGCUAAAUCCCCCAAUGCUAGGGGUGUCCUUGAUUCAGAUCUAUAACGACCUCAAAUUUGUUUUUGCAAUGACAAUUUAUUUCAUCAUAUUUGAUUAUUUCUCUUGACUGUUUUAACGCUUUCUCUAUCGGAAAAAUAGAGUUUGAAUUAUGAGUAACAAUUAAGCUGAACCGCAAGUGUUUAUGAUCUGCUUGGGAAUAUUUAUAAGUAGAUAGUACAUAGGACUAGGAAUACCCUAUAAGAACCGUAUUAUUCUUGAUAAAUUAAUGUUUAAUUUCAUCCAUACUUUUUAUAGACAUAUGAGUUAGGUUGAAUGAUUAAAGGUUUUCUCCAUAAGGACUUAGGAGUAAACACUCGUAAGAACCGAUAAUCAAUUAUCUGGAAUCGUGUGUUGCAUUGUUGAGUUCAGAGUCGUCAUAAAAUAUAAUCAUACACUAUCCCUAACAUAUUACUCAGAUUUGCCUAAACCGUCAAUUACUUGUUUACUUUAUCUGCAAUUAUUCUCAUAACUCAACCAAUCAAUCCAAAACUCAAAAGGCUUUGUUUAACUGAAAUUAAUCCAUAACUUUGUAUCGUAAAGCAAUCCUUGAGAAUAGAUACUGAGGAUAUCCUUUUUUACUACAUUGGCAGAUUAGUACACUUGCCAUUUUCCGAUCAAGUUUUUUGCGCCGUUGCUGGGAACUGCCAAAGAUAAUAGAGUUCAUAGAUAUAUUUCAAUUAAUUUUGUUCUGCACAGCUAAAUUUUAUUUUCAGUUUUAUUUUUAUCUUUAUUUUUUGUGUGGCUAUUUUUGGUUAUUACUAAUCUUUAUGUAAUCCUUGUAUGCGAGGAAAGCCCUCAGCUAAUUUUACUUUUGAUGCAGAAACUUAGAAAGAACUUUGCACUGUAAAGCCUUGACAAGCUAAGAAAGCAAGGUUGGCCGUCUCUGAAGCCGAAAUUUCUGAGCACUCAGAUACAAACUCAGAGAGAGAGAGAGAGAGAGAGAGAGAGAGAGAGAGAGAGAGAGAAUCCAACUAUAGCUGAACAACAGAAAGACUUCUUGGAGAUAUGGAGGAGCAAAUGCCCAUGGGGAUGUUUGACUAUAGUGAAUCAACUUGUGAAUGUUCCAAAUUCCAGUGUUGCACCCAAUAACUAUCCCUCAGCCUGAGAAAAGGCCUUUUAUAGAGAAAAUAAAUGAAGAUGCAAAUAAACAUCUGCAAAGGUUUCUUACUAUGAGCAUUACUUUGAGAUUGAUGGGCACACUGAAGAAGAAAAAAUUGAGAAUGCUUGCUUCACUCUAGCUGAAGACUCCGAAGAAUUGUUUUAUUCAUUGCCAACUGGAGUAUUACUAUGUGGAACAGAUGGAAAUAACUUUUUGAAUAGUACUUCCCUGCUUCGGUUUUAUAUUCGAAAAAGAUAUGAUAUUAUGAAUUUUAAGCAGAAGGACGGGGAAUCACUGGUGAUGCAUACAAGAGAUUUAAAAGGUUACUAGUUGCGUGUCCGACUCAAUUAAUGGAUGAUACUGAACAGAUGCAGAUGUUUGUAAAUGGCCUCAGAUUAAAGACUAAGCCAACUUAUUGAUACAGUUUCCGUUGGCUCAGCCAACUUUAUAACAACCAAUGAUAUCAAGAAGAUCAUAGAAGUCAUUGCUGCAAAUGAACAUCUAGAGUUAUAUGAUCGAAGUGUGAGUAAACCUGGUGUGAAUGAUUUGAACCUUGAAAGUCAGUGUGUGAAGAUGGCAGACAAGUUGCUUCUGAAUUUUGAAGUUGAGAGAAGACUUAAAGUUAUGAAUAUAGGUACUUAACAAGUAGCCCAAGUUCAACAUGCUCAAGUUGUUAAUUAUGAGAUCUAUGGGGGACCCUAUUUUGCCAUGCAAUGUGUUACAACCGUGCAACAAAUUGAAGAGAUAAAAUUCUUGAAGCAGAACAACCCUUAUUAUAACACUUAUAAUCCAGACUGGAAGAAUCAUCCAAACUUCUGCUAGAAAGAUCAGCAAAGGAAUAUUCGAAAGUAGGGUCCCAUUCAGUAUCAGAACCAACCACAACAAUAUUAGCAGCAACAACAAUAUCCACCACCACAACAACAUUAUCAGAAACAAGCACCCAAAAAGGCCGAUUGGGAACUUGUCAUUAAAAAGAUGGCAACUCAAAAUUCUCAGUUCCAAGAAGAAACAAGAAAUAAUCAGAGGAACACUACUACUUCUAUAAAAAAUCUUGAAGUUCAUAUGGGUCAGAUAGCAGAAUAACUCAUAAAUCAAGCUCAAGGCACCCUUCCGAGGGCAAUAGUACAAAAUUCGAGACAUCAUGAGAAUGUUAAUGUUGUCACAACAAAAAGUUAGAAAGUUGCUAAAGAUGAAGAAGAGAAGGCAAAAAAUCAUGGCCAUAUCAUAGAGGUAGAUCUGGAAGUGAGGGAGAAUAAAAAAGAAUUAGAAGAAGUUAUACCACCCGUAAAGCCAACUGAAGAGAAAAAUAAAAAUGAUGCUAAACCGGUGAUUAAGUUACCUUACCCUCAGAGAGUGAAAAAGAAGGAUACAAAAGAGGAAGACUUUGAGAAAUUCAUCACAAUGUUCAAAAAGUUAGAGAUCAAUAUGCGUUUUUUGAAGCACUCGAGCAAGUGCACAUGUACCAAAAAUUCAUGAAAGAGGAAAUACCUAGAAAGAGACCAAUAAGAGAUGGGUCGGUAACCGUUAAUGAAACAUUUAGUGCAAUAUCAUCGAGUAGGAGAAUCCCAAUCAAUCAGAUGGAUCUUAGAUCUAUCACAGUCUCAUGCACUGUAAAAGACAUGAUUUUCAAAAAGAUACUUAUUGAUUCAGGAGCUAGUGUGAGUCUGAUGCCAUUGUCAAUCUAUCAAAGGCUUGGUAUUGGAAAAGCAAUGAUACAGGGAUAAAUCUAAAAUUUACAGAUCACUCCAUAAAGAAUGCAUAUGGGAUAGCGGAAGACGUACUGGUGACAAUAGAGGAAUUUAGUUUUCCUAUUGAUUUUGUGAAUAUGGACAUACUAGAGGAUGAAGAGACACCUAUCAUUAUGGGUCGACCAUUCAUGCAGACAAGUUGAUGCAAUUUCGACAUAAAACAUGGUACACUGACUUUAAAAGUUUAUGAUGAUGAAAUAACCUUGAAUGUGCUUGAAAACUCGGAAGCUAGAGGUAGAAAAAGAAAAUAACUAUCAAGUAGGCAUGAUCAGGACAAAUGUGAAAGGCAAAAGUAACAUGCCAACAACAAAAAAAGUCUCAAAAAGGUCAUCUCAACUGGUAUCACCUCCAUUAGCAACCCUGAGCAGAAAAACUCCUAUUUCCAUUCCAAAAGCCAUGAGAGAGAAGAGAAAGCAAUAUUGAGGUAAGGAUAUGUAAGUUGGAACUGGCUUGUGGCAUAAAGUAGCCCAUAUCUCUGAAAAAGACGGUUUCUUGAUUUUGGAAAAGACAAGCAACAAGGUGUGGAAGCUGAAGUAUCCCCCAUAAUAGAGGGGGGGGGGGGNGGGGGGGGGGGGGGGGAGGCGUCAAGCCAAAGGCGAUAAACGAGCGUUGCUUGGGAGGCAACCCAAGGAAAGUAUUCAUAAUUUAUAUUUUAUAGUUUCAAUUUUAUAUUAAUUUCUAAGUUUUGUUUGCUUUAAGUUGGUUUAUUUUCGGUUGUUUACUUUCAUUUAGUAAUAUGAUACUGAUAGUGUAGCGGUUAUGUGAAAAGUAACCAAACGGAAGGCAUGUGUGACCUCUCUGCAUGUUAACUCGCCAAAAUAUUUUUUUAUAUACUUCUAAAUGAUCUGAUUGGUUUAAUUAAGUUGGACUGAAAGUUGAGCAGGUUUACCACAACUGAUUGAGAAACCACAUCGAGCAAGAGGUAUUACGGAGGUUGUCAGCUCUACCCAACACGGCGAGAGCAGAAAAAGCCAAACAUAAUGUACAUCAUAAGAGAGCAUUCAGGUAUGUCUUUAUCAUUAAGAACUUGCAUACGUUCUUUUCUGAUUUCGGUUGCAUAAUUACACACACUAAGGCACGUUUUUUUUGCCUUUUUACUUUUCUAGCCACCCUUUUUAUUAUUAUCCAUUGUUAACCCCAUUUGAGCCUUUACCCAUUUGUUUGUUUUAGAAACCACAUCAUAUUAACCCAUGACCCAAACACUUCCCCACCAUGUUUAGAGUAUUUAUGUGAGUUAUCAAAUUUAUGUUCAUUCUAAGUUUGAGAUUGUUGUUGGGAUAUCACCUUUAAGUUUGGGAUAGCUGUGCGACAUUAGUACAAAUGAGGGCACAUGAUGAUUGAAGAAAAAAAAGAAGAAAAGGUAAAAAUUUGAAAAAUAAAAUUGAAAAAAGUAAAAGAAAAAUAAUCAUCGGGGAACUCAAAAGAAGAAGAAGUCAGCAGAUAUUGAAAAUAAAGACAAAUACAACAGUUGAAUCCUCGAUAACAAUUGAUCCUAAAGGACGAGUGCAAGAAAGAAUUCCAACACUAAUCCAUUAGAAUGAGCAUAGUAAAGAUAACGAUCAUAUUAACUCUGAACCUCAGCCUACUUUUCCAAAAUUAUCCCACCUUAACCUUAGCCGCGUUACAACCAUAAAGACCUCAAAGAGUGUGUGUAUCUUGCUUCUUGACAUCAAAAAGAGAAUUUAUUCAAGUCUAUGAUAUAUUCUGUACUAUGAAUUUUGAGUGUUAAACACAUUAACACCAGAGAGAUUUUGUGAGAGUGUGAGUUGAGCUGACAUGUGAAGCAGUACUUUCAAGUGAAGGUUUGGCCAAUUAAUCGACCUCGGUAAUCCAAAAAAAACCGAAGGUAGUAACAAAUGAGAGCACUGUAAGAUCUUAGAGGUAUUGUGGUACGUGAAAAGUUUUUUCUUUCAUUUGGGAGUGGCAUGAGUUCUUUGUAAUUAAAGUUGCUUGAGGACAAGCAACAAGCUAAAUUUGGUAUUAUGAUCAAUCACCAUUUGUUCGAUAAUUAUUAUCAUUUUAACAAGUGAAAGUAAGCGAGCUAUUCAUAUUUUUCAUAUAGUUUGAGUGGUUUAUAUGUCAGUUUCUUUAAUUUUGUAUUUAUCUAUGUUUUAAUCAUUCCUGAUAUUUUUGAUCUUUUUGGGAAGAUUAACGUGUUUUGUAGGUCGGAGGAAAUCAAUGAUAUGGUUGGAAAAGGAACACGGAGAAUUUUCAGAAAAAUUAGAAAAAUGUCUUUUUCAGCAUGUUUUACAACAUGAUAUACAAGCGAUAUUUUGAUCAUAACUGGAGCGUCGUAACUCGGAAUGAUGUGGGACUAGCGGAAAAUGAGUGCUAACAUCCAUGGAUGCAACUUUCAUGAAGACAUCAAAGGCUAAUUCUUAAUUGUAUGCUCGUAAGCGUAAGUCCAAGUCAUUACGCGUAUUGUCUCAUCCCUGUACGUGUAUGAUGCGAGUUCCAACAGAAGGGAGGACAAAAAUGAGCUUCUGCCCUUAUGUGUAAUAGAGAAGGCAUUACAUGGAAUAACAUGUCUGGAAUAGGGCAUUACGCAUAACAGGGAAGACAUUACGCGGAAUGAUAUGCCUAGAACAGGUCAUUACGCGUAACAGGGAAGGCAUUACACGGAAUGACAUGCCUGGAACAGGGCAUUGCGCGUAACAGGAAGACAUUACGCGUAAUGAGGCCCAAAAAACUUAGGAAGCCCAAAGCGUGUCUAUUUAACCCGGAAACGCGAUUUUCCGAAGGUUGGACGAUUUUGGACGGUAAAAACAUGUUUUGAAGGCUAGGGAACUCAGAUUUUGAAGGUGGAUUCAUAUUUUUAGGAGCUUUUUGCGAUUGAAUAUCAAUUCAUCUAAAAUUUCUGUAAUGAAAACAUUCUUUAUCUUGUUUUAUUUUAUUUUUAUGAGUAGCUAAACCCCCCAAUUCUAGGGGAGUGUUCCUGAUUCAGAUAUGUAAUGACCUUAAAUUUCUCUUUGCAAUGACAAUUUUAUUUCAUCAUAUUUGAUUUAUUCUCUUGAUUGUUUUAACAUUUUCUUUGUCGGAAAAACAGAGUUUGAUUUAUGAGUAACAAUUAAGCUGGACCACAAUCGUCUCUGAUCUGCUUGAGAAUAUUUUAUAGUUGAUAUUGCCUAGGACUAUGAAUACCCUAUAGGAACCAAAUUAUUCUUGAUAAAUUAAUGCUUAAUUUUAUUCGUACUUUUUAUGGGCAUAAGAGUUAGGUUCAAUGAUUAAAGAUUUUCUCACUAAGGACUUAAGAGUAAACACUCGUAAGAAUCGGUAAUCAAUUAUUUUGAAUCUUUUGUUGCAUUGUGAGUUCAAAGUCGUCACAUAAUUGAAUCAUACAAUAUCCCUAGCAUAUUACUCAUAUUUGUCUAAACCGUCAAUUACUUUGUUUACUUUAUCUGCAAUUAUUCUCAUAACUCAACCAAUCAAUCCAAAACUCCAAAGAUUUUUGUUUAACUGAAAUUAAUCCAGAACUGUAUAUCGUCAUGCAGUCUUUAAGAUCGAUAUUGGAAAUUUCCCUUCUUAUUACUAGAUUGACAGAUUAAUACACUUGCUAUUUUUUUAUCUAACUACAUUUAUCUUUCUCAUCAUCAUGUUAAUUUCAAAAUUAAAAUUGUGGCUUAAGUUGAUGUAGCAAGAAUUAUUUUGCUUUAUAAUAACAUAUAUUAAAAUAAAAGACUAAUGUGUCAAAUGAUUUAAAGAUUGCAUUGUGCUGAACAAAAUAAAGACCUUUGUGUUUACAUGAUGGAAUUGGAAAGUACUGUAUAUUAUAUUGUAAAAAAAUUAUUGUCAACCACUCAAUUCUGAGUAAGCAUAGCACUGGCAAUACGUAUAAGCAUUUCUCAAAAUUUUAUUAGAGGAUUGAAACAUUCUAAUAAAUAAUAAUUGAUCAAUUAACAUUCAUUAAUAUUAUAUAAAUAUGAUAUGUUUAUGAAAUACACUUUUCUAAAAGAUGAACAAAUUUUUAAUAACAAAUAAGAAACACAUAUUUUUUGUGCUCGUAUUUAAUAUUUUAUGGUUACAUAACUUUGGAAAUAUAUAGUAAUAUUUUAUUUUGAUGAAACACAAUUAAAACUAACCAUAUUUUAUAAUUUGUCUUUUAUACAACACAACACAACCGAUUUCUUUUACAAAGUAGUAUAUUUCAUUAAGUAAAAAAACAUCAUGAGUAGUUUCAUAGUUUGAGGAAAAGAUUCAGAGAAUGCUUCAGACUUUGUAUAAAAAUCACUUACGUUACUUUCAAAUGGUUGCUGAAAAAUCUUCCAGAUAUUGAUAUAUAUUUCACACAGAUAAUUAGCACAAAAGUCCCUUCAAUCAUCCAAAUAUUAUGGAUAUAGUACAACCUACACCAAAUUAUCAUUCUAUAUCAAUAUUGGAUAAAUCUGUAUUUAAAAAUAAUAGAAGUAUAACCUCAUAAUUUUAAUAGAAAAAUUAAGAUUAGAAUAGAACUUAUAUGCUAUAAGUUUUCAAAAAUAGAACUUAUAUGCUAUAAGUUUUCAAAAACUUCUUUGAAAACAAAAUUAGUGGUACACUUCAAUGCUUGAUUUUCUUUAUCAUGAACUAAUAUUUUAAGUCCUUUUUUUUUCCCUUUAUCUUCGAUAUUGAGACAUAUAACCGAUCAUGACUAAAUACACUCCUAGGUAAAUAUAAUCCAACAUAGUCCAAUGAAUGACCUUGAACUUUGUUAAUUGUCAUAACAUAACAAACAAUUAUAGGAAUUUGUCUUCUAGUUAGCUUGAAGGGCCAUGGAGACUAUGUAGGAGUAAUAUUCAUUCUUGGAAUAUAAAUUAUACCUCCAAUGUUCUUUCCUUAUAUGAUUUUUGCUUCAAUCACAUGGUGUGUCAAUCUUGUACCUAUAAGUCUUGUUCCAUUGCACAAUCCUUCUGAUUGAUCAAUAUUUCUGAGAAGCAUUAUUGGUGUGUCAGUCUUCAACUUAACUUUAUGAUUAGGGAGCCCUGAAGUUGUCAAUAUAUUCAAAAAAAUCUAGAAUAAGUACAUCAAAAACUUCAUUGCCAUCGGCUUCAAAUCUAUCGACAGAAUCUAAACUUAAAUAUUUUCUUUCCUCUCCUGCAAAACAUAUGAAAUUAUCAUUAUUGCUUACAUUAAAUCUUAUAUGUAUACAAGAUUUUCUAAUAUUUUAUUAUCUGAAAUUAAUCCUAAAAUAUAUUGAUUGAUGACAUCCACAAUCUUGAUUGUUCCUGCCAAAAUAGCUCUAGACCGUAAGAAAUUUUCAUUCUUUUAAUUCUGGUCAAAAUUUGGAUAUGUGCUUUGAACUAUGGCUUCAAGUGGAUCAUCAAAAUUAGUGAUCAACAAUUUAGUUGGUAUAUCAAUAUUUGCAUAACCAUCAUUAGGCUAGAUAACUUUCUAUCUCCAACUUUUAAAAUCCAAUUUGAAAAUUGUUCCACUUCAUAAUCAUUGGAAGUCUGACUAUUUUGUUGAAGUCGUUCUUUGUAAGUCUCAACACUUGAUAGUGAUCUCAUAUGUAUGAUGUAUUAAUCGUGACAUGAAUUAUAUCUGAAAGGCUUCCUCUUGGUACAAAUGGUACUAUUUGUCUAAAAUCACCACAAAAAACAAUUAACUUGCCUCCAAAUAUUUUGUUUGAAGUCUUGGAUCCAGUCAUUAUGUCUUUGAGUGUUUUAUCCAAUGCUUCAAGACAAAACUUAUUAGCCAUUGGAGCUUCGUCCUAUAUUAUUAACUUGGUUAAUUUCAAAAGCUCAACACAAUCACUUUCUUUAUCUAUAUUACAUGUAAAUUACCCAAGUGUAGGUAUUGACAAUUUGAACUUAAAUGUGUUGUUCGACCUCCCGGAAGUAACAAUGAUGUUAUUCUGGAUGAAGCGAUUGUCAAGCAAAUAUGUUUUCUUGAACGUAUGUAAGAAGCGACUGCCUUUUUUAUUGUUUACCGCUUCCAUUAUUCUUUUGAAGACAUCUCUUUGCUUAUCUUAUUAAUAAUAAAAAUAAGAAAAAACUUAUUAACUUUGACGAUGAACGAAAUCAUAAAGAAUAGAAAACAUAUUUAAACAGUAAAAACAACGGACUUUAAGGCUACAUGUAAGAUUUUGAUAUAAUUUAUUGAAUUCUUGAAGUUGCUCAGUUGGAUCAUACUUACACUCUUCAUAAAUAAGUUUGUUCCCAAGCUGUUCAACGACAUACCCUUUUGGAUAUGACAUUCCAAGAAAAAUCCCUUAAACUCUUGCGAUUUCUUUGAAGGUUCUUUCAAUUUCAAUCAAUGUUAGAUUUCUAAUUUCUUCAUCUGAUAACCUCAAAUCUAUGACAUUUACAACACAUAACCAAAAUUAUAAUUAAACAAAAGGAUAUGAAAUAAGAAUAUUGAUAUUAUAAUUGUAUAAUUAAAACAUAAUGAAGUAUAAGAUGUGAAAUAUGUCAGAAUAUUAGUCAUACCUCUAUUAUUUGCAAUUCUUUGUCGAGCAUAAAGUAUGUCACCCACUGAGAUAUGCCAUAUGCUCUUGCAUACAUGGUUUUGCCUAUUCAUGCUACUUGACAAUACCAUAUGGACAAAUAGUAUCCUUAAAAAGUGAUCAGAAUCCCAAUGAUUUUCGUCUUUAAUGGCUGCUAUAAAUUCUCUAUCAUCUCUUAUGAAUCCUAAAACAAAACAUGCAUUCUGAAAUGUAUCAUAUAAGAUAUUGUUGAGAGUUUUUAUUUCACCAUAACUUGGUGGUCCUUUCACAUGUGUUAAUAUCAUCCUCAGAUGGUACAUUUCACUUGUACACGAAGGAUCCUAAAUUAACCUAUCAAUUGUGUUACCUUUUUUACGGGGUCUCAAUUCUUUUUUUUUCUUGACAUAUACAAACUGUGAAACAAAUUUGUUGUAAGUUAACUCUCGAGUUUCAUGGUACAUUUUGUUUGCUUCAAACCAUGAUGUAAACAUUGAUCAGUCACAUAUGGUUUCAAAAGAACGACAUUAAUUUGCUUAAAGUCAAUGUAAUAUAUAGAAUUUUGACCCUCAUAGUGAAAGAACAAUCUUUCUACAACUGGUUUUCUAUCAUGUAUUGAAAAGGAAAAUAUUCUCCAACAUGCUUCACUUGGAGAAACAUACCUACAAUCAAGAUAUUGUUUGAUCUCGUCAAUAUCUCAUUGUUGAAUGAAUGUUCCAUCUUUAUUUGGUACAAUGGCAUGAGUGAUUCUGUCAUACCCUUUGUUGAUGUACUGGAAUAAGUACUUAAUUGAUGUACUUUGAUUCCACCAUUCCCUCUUAACAUGAGCCUGGUACUUUAUCAACAACUUUGGAUUAUAUGGGACAACAUGUCGGUUAUCCAUUUGAAUUCCAUUUUUAGUAAUCGUGCGGCUAUUGUUCUUUCUUCUAUACACGAGAUACCGAUCCUGGUCAACAACUGUUUCAACUUGAAUUUUUUUUGAAAAAAAUUUAGAACAUUUUCCAUCUUUCAUACAUGGUGUAGCUCGAUUUGCACUUCCACAUUGUCCAUGAAUCAUGUGGGAUUUAACCAAGUUAUACAAUCCCGGAUCAAUUCUUUGAUUAGGAAUUUCAGCAGAUAUAAUACAAUCAAUAUCAUUUGGAGUUGGAUAUUUAUUUGACGGAUGAAAAAAAAUGAGAACGUGAGCAUAAGGCAACCCUCUCCUUUGAAAUUCAAUUAUAUACAUAUUUGUAAAAAUAUUGGCAAUAAUAUUUCACCAUUUAAUCUAGGUACUUUACUUACAUGCAAGCACCUUUUUCAAUGCACCUUGCUUCGUCAAAUCAGAUAACAACUCAUUGGAUUUCAUCUUAAAAACUCUAGAUAUUAUGUAUGGACGGUCAUGUGCUUUCAAAUGCUUCAGACCAAAAAAAUAUUGAAUUUUAGGCCAGAUAAAAUUACAUGUGAAACUAAUGAAAAGAUCAGGGAAUCCAACAUAACUGCAUAUUUCCAUUCCCUCAAAGUAUUGUUGGUCCAUAUAUCUAUGACUAACAUAUGACGAAGGCAACAUAAUCCUCAUAACUGCAUAUUUCCAUUCCCUCAAAGUAUUGUUGGUCCAUAUAUUUAUGACUAACAUAUGACGAAGGCAACAUAAUCCUCUUUCAUGUGUUUGCACCUUAUGUUUGACCAUUGGAGUUAGAUUCACUCAAACAGUGAUACUUUCAACUCUCAAUUUUGAUUGAAUCUUUCUGAGCCACCUAAACCUUUCAGAUUCCAUCAUUGUAAACUCAUCAAUAAAAGUUAUUGGUAAAGUCUUCUUGAUCUCAAUAUUUUUUGUGUCUUGUUUGGUCUCGAUUGAAUUCUAAAGGCUAACCACUCUCUUAUUGUAAGUUGAUUCCUUUUUGUGGCUUGUUCCCAUGGUAUAUCUUCAUUUUCUAUUUCUGUCAACUGAAAGUUACCUUCAACUUGCAUGUUAGAACCUUUGAAGUGUCUAGUUGAGACUGAUUUUGAAAAUAUUAUAAAAAUUAAAUAACUAAAAUGAAUCUAUUAUAGAUUAUAAAUCAAAUUAUAAAUUGAAUUAUUAUUUUGUUAUACCUCAUCAAUAUUCAAGCCAUUCUCGAUUUAUUUAAUAAAUGUCUCCUCCAUUGAGAGCUUGUUGACAAAUGCUUGAUUGAAAUCUAGCUGAAUCUUAACUCUAUAUGCUAUUUUCUUAUUCAACAACUUAUCAAGGUCAUCCGAAUAAACUAUAUGAUUCUCUUUUUCUUCAUAAUAUAAUAUAUAUAUAUAAAUAAUAUAAUAUAUAUAAUAUUAUAAUAUAUAUAUAUAUAUAUAUAUAUAUAUAUAUAUAUAUAAACAAAUGAGGUCACUACGCCAAAAGAGGGAAAAGAGGGCUUUUUUUGGCCUAUAACAGUGCUUUAAAGCGCCUCUAAUCUGCGCUGUGCAUAUGGUAAGAUAGCGCUUUUUCUGGUGAAGCGCUGUCUAAAGUGGCUCUUUAAGCCCUUUAAGGUCCACUUUAGAGGCGCUUUUUAAAGAAAGCGCCCUCUAAAGUGGAAACAUUUAAGGGUUUAGAGGGCGCUUUUACUGGAAAGCGCCCUCUAAAGUGGAAACUUUUAAGGGUUUAGAGGCGCUUUUACUGGAAAGCGCCCUCUAAUAGGGAAAUUAAAGGGUUUAGAGGGCGCUUAUUUUGGAAGCGCCUCUAAAGUGGGUGGUUAUUUAAAUUUUUUUUUUUAAAAGCGCUAUAUUAUUUAUUUUAUUUUAGGCAACCUGUAUAUUGACAGUACACCCAAAACUGUAUAUUGAAGCACAUUUUCACACAUUGCAUUCAACAAGCCUUAUAACAACAAUCCAUACAUAUACAACAAUCCACUGAUAUAUAAUUGUUUAACUUCUAAAGAUUCUAAAUAUACAACCAAUUCAUACUUAAAAGAAAUAAAAGCAGUAGCAAAAGCAUCUCUCGAGAGUAUGUUUUUUUUGCUAGCAGCAGUCUCUUAGCAACAACCUCUUUUUGUUCAAUAUCAAUAGCAUGAACCUAAAUAUCAUAAAACUUAGUUAGGUGAUAUAAGAUCAAGAAAAACAUUUCUAUGCAUAACAUCAUAUAAUGUGUUAUACCUUUUUUUCUUGAUGCAACUGACUCGAUUUGCGCGUAAUCCCUUAUAUUGUGGUCUCUUAUCUUUUGAAAUAGAAUUGAUAUUGUUUAUGACAUGUUCAUUGUCGUAGAGGGAUACUUUCAAUAUCCGCACAUCAUCUACGCGAAUGAGGCUUGACAACAAUGGAAACAUCUCAUCUAAAACAAAUAUCAAUUGAUACUUUCGAGUAUCCCUUGCCCCUUGCCACGAAUGAUUGACUCAUAAUAGCCAUUUACGUCUGAAUAAGAAAACAUUAAAAUCAGAUGACAAAUGUAAAAACAAUUAAAAUCAUAAAAGUCAUUUUACCUGUAAUAAGAAAACAAUUAAAAUCAUUUGACCUGUACUUUUCACUAAGUUCGCUUCUUUUCUGGUUGGAAUAUGUUCUACAUGUCUCUUAACAACACGGACGGUUGGAUUGAUCCAAAUACCCUCAUUAUGAUCAUUCUAAUAUAUAUCAUUUAUAUAAUAUUCUCAUUUGAUCAUUUCUGGUAAACGAUUCAUCUCACAUAAUAUCACCUUGAUCCUCCAGUGUUUCAUCAAUUACUUUGUGGAAAAAGAACUAUAGACCAUUUCGUACUUUUGGAUCAUGACAUAGAACACUUGUCUAGCUUGAGAGGCUAGAAUAAAGACUCAUCUUGUGUAUCCCACCCUAUUAAGAUCCUUGCAAAAAUCCUGACUUAUCCAUUCGAAUGCCGUUAUUAUUUUCAACCCACUUGAACCAAAUAUAGGAAUCUGACUUCUCAUAAUCAAACACCAAUGCGCUCGAUAACCAAAUACGACAGAUUUGCAAAUUUGGGUUUAAGUCCUUCACACUUGAUAUGUGCAUUGCUUCAGCUACCACGGUGACACCACUAUUCUGCAUAGUCUUUUAUAAUCUUGUUCUUGUGUAUAAAAUGUGUAUCCAUUAAGUCGCGUAUGCGCUAUAAGAAAAAAAUGGAAACUUGGACCAUAUGCUAAGCAUCUCAACCUUUCUGUUUAUGAAGCGGAUCUGAAUAAUAUCUUUGAAUAAAUAUGACCUUAACAAGGAUAAAACACGAUGUGCUCUCGUACUAUCCAAUUUUCAUAUCUAUUGAGAUUUAACUCGAGAACAUCCUUGUGAAUUCAACAUACGGCUCAACCUCAUUCUCAUGUGCAGAACAUACAAUGCACUGAUCCCGUUCGACCCUUGAUACUGCCACGAUUUUUAUUUCCAAUAGAUUUUUCCUUCUUUCUUUCGACAAGCUGAGACUUGGGGAGUCCGAUGAUGAAAUUAGACAAUAUUCAGUACAAACUCAAUCGCUUCUUCAACAAUGUAUCUUCAACCAUACAACCUUCUGGUCGACUUCGGUUCUUCACGUACCCUUUUUAAAUUUUCAUAUAACGUUCAACAGGGUACAUCCAUCUCAUAUAAGCUGGUCCACACACAAUUGUGUCCUUUCACAAGAUAACACUAGAUGUACCAUUAUGUCAAAAAAUAGAUGGAGGAAAAAACAUUUCAAGCUCACACAAGAGUAAUAACGAUUUCUUUUUGCAACAUUGGUAAGAUCGCAGGAUUGAUCACCUUACUGCAAAUUGACUUGAAGAAAGAACACAACUUAGUUAUAGAGCUUUCUUACUUUUUCUGGAAGAUAGAACGUAUACCUAUUGGGAGAAAAUUUCCAUUUAACAUGGCAAUCAUGGGUCUUUACUUUAACUGAGGUCUUUCAUAGACACAAGUCUUCUAAUAUCUGAAGAGUACCCUUCUGGAACUUUAACUUCACUUAGAAACUUACACAAUGUUUUUUCUCCUUUCUAGAUAAGAUAGCAGCAGNNNNNNNNNNNNNNNNNNNNNNNNNGUUCAACCAUACAACCUUCUGUCGACUUCGGUUCUUCACGUUACCUUUAAUAUUUCAUAUAACGUUCAACAGGGUACAUCCAUCUCAUAUAAGCUGGUCCACCACAAUUGUGUCUCUUUCACAAGAUGAACAUAGCUGAUGAUCCAUUAUGUCAAAAAAAUGAUGGAGGAAAAAACAUUUCAAGCUCAACAAAGUAAUAACGAUUUCUUUUUGCAACAUUGGUAAGAUCGCAGGAUUGAUCACCUUACUGCAAAUUGCUUGAAGAAAGAACACACUUAGUUAUAGAGCUUUCUUACACUUUUUCUUGAAGAUAGAACGUAUACCUAUUGGGAGAAAAUGUUCCAUUAUAACAUGGCAAUCAUGUGGUCUUUAUCUUUAACUGAGGUCUUUCAUAGACACAAGUCUUCUAAUAUCUGAAGAGUACCCUUCUGGAACUUUAACUUCACUUAGAAACUUACACAAUGUUUUUUCUCCUUUCUAGAUAGAGUAUAGCAGCAGGAGGUAGAUAUGUUCGUUGUUCCUGUCUUCAAGGGUCCUAAUUCAGUUCUAUUCCAUCCUAUCAAUGUCCUUCUUGCUUAAGGCCAUCCUUAGUUUUCCUGUUAGUGCAGUACGUGCUAACACUUUCAGAAUACAUUUUUUCAAUAUGCAUAACAUCAAGAAAUGUUCUCACUCCAGGACUUCCAAUACGGCAUUUCAAAAAGAACUGAGCUUCUUCUUCACCCACUUUUGAUCAACAGUGUGGGCAAAAGGCUUCCAAACUGAGUACAAAUCUGUUCACUCCUUUCAAAAAUUUGAUCCACCGUCAUAUAGGUGGAUGCUCUGCCUUGGUUCUGUCUCUCCAUUGAACGCCUUUCUCCAUCCCAGUGGUUGAUUCUGAAUUAAGUAAUCUCCGAUGACCGAGAAAGGCACAUUAUUCUUCUGACCAUACUCCAAGCGCUCCCAAUCUGUUUUAUUCUUCAAAAUAGGACACGCAACAUGACCGUUUUAUGCGUAUACCUUGAUAGAUUGUCCGUAUGCUGGAAAAAUCAUCUAAAUUGUGCCACAUCGCCCUCAGGUUAGACUUCUUUCCUAUAUCCAUGGCAUAAAGGCUGCCCACCCACACGCGGUCUCCCACAAAAUCUUGAAAUCUUCGAUUAGGGCUUCCAAUACACGUUCUAGUGUCAUUCCCCUGGUUGGUUUAGGCGUCCGAAAUCAACAUUAGACAACAAUCAGGUGUACUUACUGCUUCAUAACAUAGCCAUUGGAGGUAGGUUAUAUAAUCAUAUAUCCAGCAGUACGUAGCACGCGCCUCUGUAUGGCUGUCGCCAGAUCGUGUGUGAGCAUACUCUGGAUAGCGUGUGGUUUCCAUUCCAUCAUGUAUGAUAAUGCAAGCGGAAGGGUUGUCUUGAUUCUUUCUCCAGAAUUUCAGGAUAAUCAUUAUCAAUUUUCAACCACUGUGUGAAUCUUGCCGGAUGUCGAUACUUUCCUAUCUAUUAAUCUUUUCAUCUGGCAGCUGUCAGGUCCAACGUGUCUUGAAUCGGUUUCACUACGAAACAUUUGCGUUCUAAAUGCUCGGUAAUAACCAGAAAAUUACCCACAAUGACUUUUGCUGGAGACAACUUGUUCUUAUAUCGCGAGACACCGCAUUUACGGCACUUCAUUUAACGUAUUGCAGUACUCAUUUCGAAACAAAACGCAAUCGUUUGGACAUUGCCAUGUAAGUCUUAUCAGUAUGCUCUAUGCCAAUAGAGCACAACUCUUUUUUUGGUCUCAUAUGUUCUGAUUGGGAAGACGAUUAUCCUCAGGAGCAUUAUCUUUCAAAAGGGCUAAAUAACUGUUGUGAAACUUUUAUUCCGACCAUUCCAUUGCUGCCGCCUUUAGUGUGUACACUUUAAUACCGCGCAGACAAUCUUAGUGAGAUUUAGUCGGCAACUCAUCAUACAAAUGGUUUCUCUGUGCAUGCACUUACCAACCUUCGUCAAACAUUUGGACAUAUCCUUAAGAUUCUCCUUCUCAGUGCUUCUUGCAAUCUCUCUUCAACUUCGAUCACAAUCGUGAUGUAUCGUGCGGCCACUCAUAGUUUGACGCAUAGUCGUUCACUUAUCCCCGGUUCAAACAUUCUCGUACUUUUCAUCACCAAUGCCAACAUCCAACAUGUAUAACUUCGGCAUAUAAUUCCAUGCCUCAUUAGAUGGCGAUGCAACUGAGACUGCGUUCAACCCGUUUCCCAUAACAACGAAACCACAAGGCAGGACAUAUCAUUUCUACUGGGUCUUCGGCAGUGCGCGUAACAACGACAAACUUAACGAAUUCUGAAUGCCGCAUUUCUGUAUCUCUCGAAGAUCGAUUGGAAGACAUCCAUUGAUUAUCCAUUCUAUUAGAAUAAACAAACAAACAAUUUCAGAAGAGUUCAAAACCAUUCGGACCUAGGUUUCUUAAUGCUUACUGGUCGUGACACAAAAAUCAUAUUUCAUUGAGGUCGUAUAACCCUAACUACUGGUAAGUGUAGUUCCAUUGCAUGCGUUAUCUAUGGUCACUAAAAAAACCAACCGUCAAUUCCUAAUACCAAACUAUUUUAAAUGAGCUAUUGAAUAUUGAAACUUUUACAGUCGAAACCAAACGAGGCAUAAGACAACAAUACAUAAAACUGAAUUGGGGACAAAGCUUAAAACAAAGCCAUAGUGCAGAGUAUCAGAUGUAUUUGCUCUGUACUUUUGAUUGGUAGAGAGGAAACACCCAGUAAUAAUGUAGCAUCUAACAGAUGUGGUUGGAAGGAGAAAAUCGCCUUAGAACUCCUAACGUGGAAAAAGAACGAAAUAACAGAUAGUGAUAAUAACAAAACGCGCAGUAUGUUUAUAAUUUUAAUGUUUACUAAAAGGGGUACAUUAGAGGGGCUUGUGGAAAAAACGCGCCUCUAAAGGGGGGCCUAAGAGGGCCCUUAUGAAAGCCGCUCUCUGAAGGCUUUCCAGCACAUGGCUUUAUAAGGCGUGAAUACACAAUGGAUGUAUAAAAGUCGCUUUAUUAAAAGCGCCCUCGUAAUGGGUUAAAAACGCUUUAAGGUGCGCUUUCUAAAAGCGCCAUGUAUUGUGUGUCUCUAUCUUCCUCCUUAUUUUUUCGUUUCACCUUAGAGGACGCUUGUGAAAAACAAAGCGCCCUCUAAAGGGGGCCUAAGAGGGCGCUUAUGGAAGCGCUCUCUAGCUUUCCAGAAAGCGCUGUUUAAGCUGAAUGCACAUGGAGCUUAUAACAGCGCUUUAGUAACAGCGCCCUCUAAGGAUAACCUUAGAGGGCAGCUUUCCUAAAAAGCGCCAGUGGUUAUUGUUGUCCCUCUAUCUCCUCCUUAUUUUUUCGCUGUCACGCUUUAGAGGCGCGCUUUAUUACAAAAGCGCCCUCUAAAGUGCGCUGUCUAUUGCUCCUUAUUUUUCGCUUCACUUUAGAGAGCGCUUUUGUAAUAAAGCGCCCUCUAAGGUGCGCUGUCUAUUCCAGUUUUUGGCGUAGUGGGUGUUUAAAACCUAGAAUUACGUAUACAGUUGAAUGUCUUACCAAUAAUAGCAGUACAAGCACUAUCCCAAAAAAUAAAUUGAUAUUUUACAUCACAAUUGCUUACAUACAUCUCAAUAAAAGUGUGAAUUGAACUUCAAUAUAAAAUAUAAUAUGAUUUUUAAAUCCUAGAAAAUAACUUUACCUUGGAAUAGACUCUUUCACUUCUUCUCUAUAUUUACAAUCUUUGAGCUUUAGCCCAAUUUGGAUUGCAAGUAAAUGUGAUAAACAGAUCUAGAAAAUCAAUAUGGCUACAAAUUACCAUUCCAUCAAAAUAAAGUUGUUCCAUGAACCUCCGACUUCCAACAUAACUGGACGAUAACACCACUCUUUUACCUUUGUUUGAUUCUUCAAUAUUGACAGACUGUUCAGUUUCAUUCAAAUUACUAUACUUAGAAACUCUAAGAUUUUUCUAAUUCUUGCGAAUAAAAUCAAGUCUCUCUAACUCCAUCAUAGUAAAUUCAUCAACUAAAAAUAGUUGAAACAACCGCCUUAACCGCAAUAAAGUAUGAGUUUCAUUAGUUCUGAUUUGAAUUCUAAAUGUAAGUCAUUCUCCAAUGGUAUACCUAUUCAUCUCGCUUACUUUUUUUUGGAUUUUUCCCUAUAAAUCAGUCCAAGUCUAAAACCAUAUUCGCCGUAUGACAAUAGAUGUGGAUACUGAAACGCUAGAUAACCUGAAUGAAACUCACUAAUUCUUUUCAGUCUUUCACUCUGUCUUUCAAAUAUAAUAUCCCUCUUAAAACCUGUAUCAUCAUCUCCAACAAUAAGUGCAACAAUCUCUAAAACGGUUGAUUGAUGUUAAUUUAGUGUCAAAGAAGUACUCCCUUUGAUCCUAUUUAUAAGAGUAAAUUUAUUUUUUAGAUUUUUUGAAUAAUCUAUGCAGCUGAACUGUAUACAUUGAUUAUGCAAUGAAUUUAAAAAGUCAUCUUUCUCUUCUAAAUAAGACCACGAAUAAUAUAUUAUGAGUAAUGUAAUUAGUACAAAUUUAUCUGAAAAGAUGACACAAAAGAAAAAGCUGGGAAUUUUAUAGGCGCCAAAACAUUCCAAAAUCACUGAGCGUAGCAAUAUGGCAAAUUGGAUUACUAAAUUCUUCCGCCACGUCAUCGAUCGUUCUCAGUUUAAUCUAAUAUCCAGACCGUACAUUAACCUCCCAUCAACGAUCCAGAACAGCUCCGUGAAACCCACCCGGAUCGAUCUAAAACGAUCUAAACAAUCUCGUAAAAUUAAAAAACCUAUAAAUAAAAACCCCACACAAUAAUCAAUCACAGCAAAUUCAUCAUUCUUCAUCAUUUUGUUAAUUACAGUCUAAAAUCAAGAUGUCUGGGCGUGGAAAAGGUGGAAAGGGUUUGGGAAAGGGAGGAGCAAAACGACACCGUAAGGUUCUCCGCGAUAACAUUCAAGGUAUCACCAAGCCGGCGAUUCGUCGUCUUGCUCGCAGAGGUGGAGUGAAGCGUAUCAGUGGUCUGAUCUACGAAGAAACACGCGGUGUUCUCAAGAUCUUUUUGGAGAAUGUGAUUCGUGAUGCAGUUACUUACACUGAACAUGCUAGGAGAAAGACUGUUACUGCUAUGGAUGUUGUUUACGCUCUCAAGAGACAGGGAAGAACUCUCUACGGAUUUGGGGGUUAGGGUUAGUGUUAGGGUUUCAUUUUCAAUCGAUUUUCUGUUGGUUUUGCAAUUUAUGUAUAUUCUGGGAUUGAAAUGUUGCAGCCAUUAGGAGAGAUCAAUUUGACAUGACUUUGCUUGUGGCAAAAUGUAAUCCAAUUUUAUAAUGUUAAUGUUGCAACCAACUCAUUUCGUUUUCUAUUAUGAUAUUUCUGUUCUUUUAAUUCAGCUGUUGAAAUUGACUAUCAUUUACAAUAUAAACAAUUUUCAGAGAAGAUAGAAAAAAACCAUUUCACAGAA